ensembl:lncRNA
CGCCGUCCAAGUGCUGCAAUAAGCGCCGUCAUUUACAGCGUCUUCACUGACUCAUGUCGCGGUCCAAAACGCCGUUGCCCCUGUACUACACGGCGUUUGCGACGCUGUUGUUGAUGUCUAUAAGCGUCCUAACGUAAGGCGUUCAUUAUCACUUAACGCGGUUAUUAACGCCUGUUUGGUUUCAAUUCCUUAUUUGGAUUUUGCAUCAAUCACAUGGCUAGAUUUCAACCAAUCGCUGAGGAGAACAACUUUGAAACACGGAAAAAUAACAACAGCAGCAAGUUAAACGGCACUAUCUGUAAAUAUGUUGCCUGUUGGGCAUUUUCUUAUGACAUAGGCUUACAAAAUGUAAUAAGAUUGUUUUAGAGCUGUGUAUUACUCGCUAGAUGUUGUGUUAGUAAUGAAGCUAAAAUGAUAUUUUCACUUUGAAGUUCUACAUCGAACGGCAGCAACUUUUAUCUAACUACAGCUGGUUAGCUCGCUAGCUUGAUGGUUACUGUAAGUGGCUUUAAUUGUUUUAUAAUCAAGUAGCUAAAUUGUUUAGUUUGCUUUUACUUGUAUGCUAAAAGCCUGUGUGCAAAUGCAUACACUGCUUUUAGGUGUUGUGCAGAACGUUCUGUGUUAAAUUUAGUGUCUGUCACCUUCAUGAACUGGGGAAAGCUGGCAUUAGCUAGCUAGAUAAAUAGUGCCUUUAGUUAUGACUGUUAGUGAUUGCCAGUGGCUUUUCUGUCUUGGUUGGAAUUCUAUCCAUGUUAUAAGGCUUUAGGGAACAUGGUUGUGUAUGGCCUGGUAACAGCAAAAAGUCAGUUUUAGAAUUCAGUGAUACAAGGUUUUUCCUGACAGUUAAGUAACAUCUCUUCCCUACUCUUGGUUUUAGGUGUUGUGCAGAACGUUCUGUGUACCCUUAAGUGUCUGUUACAUUCAUGAACUAGGUAAAUCUGGCUUUAGCUAGCUAGAUAACAGUUUGCAUUUAGUUGUGAAGCCAAGUACGUCACAAUGGCUUUUCUGUUGUUUUUUUCACGUGACCUCUCUUCCCUACUGUUGUCCCUAUCUGUACUCUCUUGAUAUCAGUUUGUGCCAUUUUUGACAUCCCAGUUUACUUGGUCUGACUCGCCUGUUACUGUACAGUACAUCAUUUCCAACACAUUGUUCUAAAAGACGGUGUUGCAUCCAAUUAUGGAUCUAUUAGGCUUCCUCACAUCUCUGGGGUUGAAGGACAGAACCUUGGGCAAACGCUUUCCUAUACUUCCCUCUACAAGUCAGGAGGAUCAUCAACACACAAGCCAACUUCCUGGACAUACAUGUUUGAGUCAUUGGCCCUUUGGAUGGUCAACAAGAACUUUGCAGAAGUUUCUACUCAGUGACAUUGAACCAGAGAAGCUCUUCCAUUCCCCAAUCCUUUCCAAACAAGAGACUGCUCACUUAAAUCUCAUGGCGGUGUAUUUAAUGACACAACUACUUAUUAUUUUUAGCAGGAUGCAUUGGCCACACAGAAUCAACUCUUCACAAGUAUGUGCAUUGGAACUUAAAUCAUUAGAAUCAACUAACAGGCAUGGGGGUCUAUGAUGUAAAUAGUCGAGGAAGUGUCUUGUUGUUAUACUUUUUAGAGAUGUUAAUACAAUUCUUAAUGUUGUCAAGUUAACAGUUCCACAAUAAAGUAUUCCUGAAGUAGGGGCCAGC